AUGCCACCCAUAUGGAAAAAGCUGUCUCCAGUCCCUCUAACAUCUGUCCAGCUGGAAGAGACUGCAGGGCUUGCAAGGUUCGUUUUGACAUCAUCUACCCCCAGCAGGAGCACCCAGCCCCAGCCCAAAGGCCAAGUCAUUCCCAUCUGCGGUGACCUCCCACUUCCUUCAUCUCACUCAGGCAAUCAUCUGUCUUGUCCGCUAAUUUGGGGAGAACUCUGCCACCAUGGCAACAGCUGUGUCAGACAGACUGACACACUCGUAGCGCCAGAGCAGAUGCCUCCGAUUUUUUGCCAUUAUCAAAUCUUUCCACUCCUGUCACCCUUUAACUCUCUGAAUGCUGAUGUUCCCAUGAUCUGCAGACCAAAAUGUUGACUUUGCUUUCAUUGGGGCAACACUGGAAGGGCCUCCAACUUCUCAGCCAUCCCUGCAAAGUUACAAAGUCAGGGCUGAUCCUGGAGCGGGGAUGGGAGGCUGGAACAUGAGCUUUGACGUGGGCAAUGUCUGGCUCAAUGCCUCUCAGUGCACAGGAGUCUGCAAACACUGCCUGUGCCUUUUGGUCCUGUCUCCAGGACUGGUUCUCGCAGGGUUGUUGCAUUCUUCUGUCCAGGUGUUUGUGAUGGGCUGGAAUCACAAUUUGACUUCCCUCUUGGAUUGGGAAGUGGUUUCAUUCUGGCUUCAGAGACCUGGAAGCCACACUGAGCAAAGGAGGAUCUCAGCCUUAGCACUGUGGAGCUGCAGAGUUCAUGUAGAUAAGUGGAGAAAGUGAGAUCAGGCUGCUGAGAAUGCGCAUCUACCGUGAGUGAGAGCAAGCACAGCACAGACAGUGAUGCAGACCUUCAAAAUGCAAAUCUUUGGGCUAUAAAUCCACUACUCUACCCAAGGCAGUUGUUAGUUUUCCAUAUUUAUUUAUGAUUCAUUACAAUCUGGAUUUUUAUAGAUCUCCUACUUUAAGUUUUUAUACGUAAUUGAAUGAGAGUCCUGGUAUCUUUCUGCAUGUGUUUAUGUGGCUUUCAUUAACUACUGUGCAAUCUAAGAAAGAUCUUUGUUAACCAAAAAUAAGGAGCGUUUGUUAAUGUUUAAUGGAAACAAUAACAAUAAAAUUACACAACGAUAAUUA
rnacentral:lncRNA from 1 species